CUUGGAGUCACUUUUGCAGAAGAGUUUUUGCAGACUUUACGAGUGCCUAAUCCGAAGAGUAAUGGAACGUCUUUUGGGACUUCUUCAAGUUCCAGGGGGGAUUAUGUGCAAGACCAAUAAAUUGAGCCAUUGUGAUGUGUAUUUGGAACAGAGGCCUGAAGGUUGUCCCGACUUCAACAAGGUUGAGUUCUAGUUUCUCUAUUGUGUUGGAUCCUCACAUAUGGUUGAACAUAUCAUGUUUGUUUUUUGGAAUUAGUUUUUUCCUAUAAAUAUAAAAGCCACACUUGGGGGAAAUAAAAUUUAUUAUUCAGGUUGAUUUUACAUUUUAUUAUUAUAUUUUUCAUUUGCAACAAAAAU